GGGACUUUACCCACUUGGUCCUCCGAUUUGGAUCCUGUACUUAUCUCAUCCCUCCUGCAACCCACGGUCCACGAGAGCCCCACCAGACUGAGGGGCACCACGGGUUGUCAAUGCAAAUCGGAGUGACGGCUUCUGCGCAAGUUGUUGGUUGGAUCUGGGUGGAAGAUUGCACUAACGCCAGCAGGACAGAACAACCGUCCCACAGAAAGAGGCAGAGCUGAAAGCAGUCACUGCUUCUAUUCUGGAUCGCUCAUCAUGAUCACUGCAGAUGCAGACUUCCAAGAUGUGAAUCGGAUCCUGUUCCUUCCUUGCUUGAAUCUUUAAUGACUCCCUACUGCUCUCGAGGGGAACGGAAAGCAUGUAGGAAGAACGAGGCCACAUACCCACUGCUGCAAAGCACGGCAUGAACCACCUCGAGCGAGAGCUUGCUCCUGGAGCGGCCUCUUCUGCAUUUGGUCUAUGAGAUUCCUGCUCCCCCUGGUCAGGCCUGGCAGGGCUCUGCC